UUGAUCAUGGCUCAGAUUGAACGCUGGCUUNCAGGCCUAACACAUGCAAGUCGGACGGCAGCACGGGCUUCGGCCUGGUGGCGAGUGGCGGACGGGUGAGUAGCGCUUGGGAAUCUGCCUGGCAUUGGGGGAUAACUCGGGGAAACUCGAGCUAAUACCGCAUACGCCCUGAGGGGGAAAGCAGGGGACCUGCUUGCAGGCCUUGCGAUGCUGGAUGAGCCCAAGCCGGAUUAGCUGGUUGGUGGGGUAAAGGCCUACCAAGGCGACGAUCCGUAGCUGGUCUGAGAGGAUGAUCAGCCACACUGGGACUGAGACACGGCCCAGACUCCUACGGGAGGCAGCAGUGGGGAAUAUUGGACAAUGGGGGCAACCCUGAUCCAGCCAUGCCGCGUGUGUGAAGAAGGUCUUAGGAUUGUAAAGCACUUUAAGUCAGGAGGAAGUGCCGCUGGCGAAUACUUGGCGACAUUGACGUUACUGACAGAAUAAGCACCGGCUAACUUCGUGCCAGCAGCCGCGGUAAUACGAAGGGUGCGAGCGUUAAUCGGAAUUACUGGGCGUAAAGCGCGCGCAGGCGGUUCGAUAAGAAGGAUGUGAAAUCCCCGGGCUCAACCUGGGCACUGCAUUUUUAACUGUCGGGCUAGAGUACGGUAGAGGGUGGUGGAAUUUCCCGUGUAGCGGUG
rnacentral:rRNA from 1 species